CUAAUCUUAUUAUUCUCUCUUACAGUUCACCUCCAAAUUCUUCUUUUGGUUGGACUGAUAGUCUUUUGUCUGUGUUUGGUCCUGGGGUGUAUCCUGUGCUGGAGGAACAGUCAGAUUUGUCCAGUGAAAGACAAAGAUCCUGUGACAUCAGCACCAGCUCCUUCUGAACCUGUGACCUUUGCCCAUAGCCCGCCUCCCUCAGCAGUGACGACAGCGUCUAGGCAGCAAUACGAAGAGCUGGAUGGAGAUUUACUAGAGUACCCUUCUACUUUCCCCAGCCCUGCCCCUUCAGAGGGUGAAUUUACCUCUCCAACAUUCUCUAAUCGAGCUACAGCUGCCUCUGAGCGGAAGGAGCAGCCAAAGUCUUAUUUUUCCCUGCGCCGCCUCAGCACACCAACACUAAUAUCACCCCUUUAUAAACCCAUAGAUCCCAGUUCCCAUAUUUCCCUGUCUACAUUUCCCAAACUGGGACUGUUGUCCAAAACCUGUAAGGCUCUGCAGAGGCGUUGCACAGUGUCUGGGGGUAGUAUAUCUUACAAUGAACACAGCAGGCUCACCAGCCCCAGCGGUCUGUGUCCCGUUAUGCCUGAAGAACCAAUUCCACUGGCUCCACUGAACUAUGGCUCCAGUUCCAGCUGCCAACAGCCAAUAUCACCAAAACCAUGCCUCCAUUUCACUAUGGCCUUCUCUCCAGAGCAGCAAACCCUGACAGUCACUGUCUUCAGCCUCACUGGGACACCCCACACCCUGGAGGACGUAUCUGUGCUGGGCAGCCUGUCCCCUUUGUACCCCUGUCCCAUACAAGCCUCUGCCCAGAGCAGCCUCAGCCCUCAGACCCACAGCCUGGUGCUGCUUUUGAAAGUGAGCUCUGUGAAGGAGCUCCAAAGGUGUGUACUGAGAAUAGCCGUAUACCCACGGGAACCUCCCUGCCUGAGAGACACCGGACUGGGUGAACUGGAGGCCGAAUGUGGAGGAAGAGACUGGAGAGCAGAUCACCCAUUUCACUUCACAAAGGAGCUUAACACAAAUAAGUGGACACUAAAAAAGGUAGUGGUGUGUUGA
rnacentral:lncRNA from 1 species